GACAAAAAGGCUACAACUUCUGGUGAGAAGAAUGUGCUCAUCUUUGACCUCGGUGGCGGCACCUUCGAUGUCUCUCUUCUCACCAUCGAAGAGGGUAUCUUUGAGGUGAAGGCCACUGCUGGUGACACUCACCUUGGUGGCGAGGACUUUGACAACCGGAUGGUGAAUCACUUCGUUCAGGAGUUCAAGAGGAAGCACAAGAAGGACAUCAGUGGCAAUCCCAGGGCGCUUAGAAGGCUUAGGACAGCUUGUGAGAGGGCGAAGAGGACUCUCUCUUCGACUGCUCAGACCACCAUUGAGAUUGAC
rnacentral:lncRNA from 1 species